GCCGAGGUGGCGGGUAGACCUGGCGGCCGGCAGUACGAACCCCCCCCCCCCCCCCCCCCACCACCACCCCGUUUUGUUAUUUUUGAGGGUUUUUUUCCUUCCUGUUUUUUUUUUUAAUUUUCUUUAAAUUGUUUUUUUUCCUUUUCUUUUAUUUAAUUUUUUCUUUUUUUUCUUCAUUUUUUAAUUAAUUUUUUUUUAUUAAUAUUUUAAGAAUUCCUUUUUUGUCCCUAUUUUCAAUUUUUAAUUUUUUUUAUUCAUUCGUUCGUGCAUUUCUUUCCGUGUGCGUGCGCGCGUGAGUAGGCCCGGCCCGGCCCGGCCCAGCCCAGCACGCCCCCCCCCCCCUCUGUCGGGAAGUGGCUGCAGUGCCGAGGUGGCGGGUAGACCUGGCAGA
ensembl:lncRNA